UUCUUUAGGAUGAUGGCAGGCAACAGCUGUGGUAAAGGUAGGAGUCAGAGUUAAGUCUGAACUGGCUAUGUGUGAGCGCUCGACCUCCAGCGGACGCUCUGCUAAUGCGUCAAACCAUGCCUGACCGUGCACCGUGAGUACAAUAGGAAGCUUGUGAAGAACGUUCCUGCAAUAAUACCUGCUCUGCUAUGGAUCACUUGAGGGCCCUCAGGCAAGCCUUGUGAGGGAAGGUGGCUCUGAAGCCCCUUCCCUACAGGGUGGACAGGCUGCCAGACAGACAACAGGGCGGGUCUGCUGUUUUGGGUGAGAAGGCCAAGGAUCAGCAAGGCUGAACAGCAGAGAACAGAUGAUGAUGCUCUAAACCAAUGGGUCUCAACCUUCCUAAUGCUCCAGCCCUGCCCUUUAAUGUUGUGGUGAUCGCCAAUCAUAAAAUUAUUUCUGUUACUAUUCAUAACUGUAAUUUUGCCACGGUUAUGAAUAAUAAUGCAAAUAUCUACUAUGUAACCCCCAUAAAAGGGUCCUUUGACCCACAGGUUGAGAACCACUCCACUGUCCCUGUAUUUGUCUUCCACCUCAUCUCUUCAGCCUCCUGUGUGUAAAAUGCAGCUCGUUCUUCCGCUUAAGGGUUCUUUGAAGAUUCAAUGAAAGACUCUGCAAAGGUCAUGGAAAAAUCCAGAGGUGCUGCCCUGGGUCCUCUAAGGAGCCAUUCUGAAUAUGAGUGUCUGCUUUCUUCAAAGCUUACCAGUUAGAGGCCCUGCAGGGACCAACAACCCAGCUGUGAUUCGCUUGUGACUGAUGUUUGCAGAGCCACGUGUGCACCACCUGACAAGGGUGAAGGGGCGGAGCACAGACACUACAGAAGAUGGGGCUGGAUUCUUAAAUAUCCAUUUUUAUGGCGAGGAUUAGUGAAGCGCCAUGAAAUCGAUGUUGUCUAUGAACUCACAGCACAGUGGAGAUUUUUGGUUUCUUUGGAGACUCAGUUGCGUCUUAUGAAAGGAUGUUUUGCUGAGAACAGACGUGUUUUUCGGGCAUGUGAAGUUUUGCUAGCAGAUGCUUGGGAAGGCACAUGGUGUUUGGGAAGACUAGAGAAACGCACCAAAGAACUUCUGGAGGUGUCCUGGACUCUUCUUGCUGCUUCAGAGGACUUGUGCUGAUUGGCAGAAGUUCCUGGUUUACUUCUGGAUCAAGCUGCUGCUGCUGCUGCUGCUGCAAGUGGACUGGACUGCUGACAAUGAAGAUUGGACUCACCCCCAAAGAGCUACUUCUAAACAGGUCCACCUUCCUUGUCCUGUCAACCGCCUUCUCCCCUACCUUUGGUCGGUGAGCUAUAAGGGAGGGGGAAGUAUUUAAGAAACAUUAUUGAAGUAGGUUUGAAAAAUAUAAGCCUAUAUCACAG